AUUAAUUCUAUAUAAAAUACAUGGUAAACAAACUGCUUGUCUCCACAAGGAAGCUGGAAAUGGAUGAAUUACGCAUAAUUCAGGUACUUCGGCAGGAAAUGUAUCUUGAUUAUCAUAAAUACAAUCCAAAAAAUCCCAAUCAAUAUUAAUAUCGGAAUUUUUACGUUCAGCAGCUAUAAUUACAUAAAUUUAUUUAUCAUUUUGAACAGAUAAAUGUAAAUUUGACUUUUAAAAUUGAUGAUAAUGCAAGCCGAAUUGACAUAUUUUGAUUUAUAAGUUAAAACUAUAGUCUUCUUAGAUAAUUCUAAGUUAACGUGAACUUCACCGGAUCUUGUAUAAAUAGGAAAUGGGCAUAACUGAAAUAAG